GACGAACGCUGGCGGCGUGCUUAACACAUGCAAGUCGAACGAAGUGGCGAACGGGUGAGUAACGCGUAAUCAACCUGCCCUUCAGAGGGGGACAACAGUUGGAAACGACUGCUAAUACCGCAUACUGAAGGAGGGGAUUGCGUCUGAUUAGCUAGUUGGAGGGGUAACGGCCCACCAAGGCGAUGAUCAGUAGCCUGUCUGAGGGGAUUGACGGCCAACGUGGGACUGAGAAACGGGCCAGACCCCUACGGGAGGCAGCAGUUGGGAAUUUUCCGCAAUGGACGAAAGUCUGACGGAGCAACGCCGCGUGAGUGAUGACGGCCUUUGGGUUGUAAAGCUCUGUUAAUCGGGACGCGGUACCGGAAUAGAAAGCCACGGCUAACUACGUGCCAGCAGCCGCGGUAAUUC
rnacentral:rRNA from 1 species